rnacentral:rRNA from 1 species
UACGUAGGGGGCAAGCGUUGUCCGGAUUAUUGGGCGUAAAGAGCGUGUAGGCGGUUAGGUAGGUCCGUUGUGAAAACUCGAGGCUCAACCUCGAGACGCCGAUGGAAACCAUCUGACUAGAGUCCGGAAGAGGAGAGUGGAAGUUCCUGGUGUAGCGGUGAAAUGCGCAGAUAUCAGGAAGAACACCCGUGGCUAAGGCGGCUCUCUAGUACGUGACUGACGCUGAGACGCGAAAGCGUGGGGAGCGAACAGG